AAUCAACGCUGGCGGCGCGCUUAACACAUGCAAGUCGCACGAGAAAGGGGGCAACCCUGAGUAAAGUGGCGUACGGGUGAGUAACACGUGGAUCAUCUACCUUCUAGUGGGGAAUACCUCUGGGAAACCGGAGACAAUACCGCAUAAGCCCGUGAGGGGAAAGCAGCAAUGCGCUGGAAGAGGAGUCCGCGGCUGAUUAGCUAGUUGGUGAGGUAAUGGCUCACCAAGGCGAAGAUCGGUAGCCGGCCUGAGAGGGCACACGGCCACACUGGCACUG
rnacentral:rRNA from 1 species